UACGGAGGAUCCGAGCGUUAUCCGGAUUUAUUGGGUUUAAAGGGUGCGUAGGCGGAUGAAUAAGUCAGUGGUGAAAGGCUGCAGCUUAACUGUAGACUUGCCGUUGAUACUGUUUAUCUUGAGUGUGGUCAAGGCAGGCGGAAUGUGUAAUGUAGCGGUGAAAUGCUUAGAUAUUACACAGAACACCGAUUGCGAAGGCAGCUUGCUGGGCCAUUACUGACGCUGAUGCACGAAAGCGUGGGGAGCGAACA
rnacentral:rRNA from 1 species